AUACGGAGGGUCCAAGCGUUAUCCGGAAUCAUUGGGUUUAAAGGGUUCGUAGGCGGGUCAAUAAGUCAGAGGUGAAAUCUUGCAGCUUAACUGUAAAAUUGCCUUUGAUACUGUUGACCUUGAAUUACUGUGAAGUGGUUAGAAUAUGUAGUGUAGCGGUGAAAUGCUUAGAGAUUACAUAGAAUACCGAUUGCGAAGGCAGAUCACUAACAGUAUAUUGACGCUGAUGAACGAAAGCGUGGGUAGCGAACGGGAUUAGAUACCCUAGUAGUCC
rnacentral:rRNA from 1 species